rnacentral:rRNA from 1 species
UACGAGGGGUGCAAGCGUUGCUCGGAAUUAUUGGGCGUAAAGGGUAGGUAGGUGGUCUCAUUUGUCUGGGGUGAAAGCCUUGAGCUUAACUCAAGAAGUGCCCCGGAAACGGUGAGGCUAGAGUCUUGGAGAGGGUCGUGGAAUUCCCGGUGUAGCGGUGAAAUGCGUAGAGAUCGGGAGGAACACCAGAGGCGAAGGCGGCGACCUGGACAAGUACUGACACUCAACUACGAAAGCGUGGGGAGCAAACAGG